UACGUAGGGUGCAAGCGUUGUCCGGAAUUAUUGGGCGUAAAGAGCUCGUAGGCGGUUUGUCGCGUCUGCUGUGAAAUCUAGAGGCUCAACCUCUAGCCUGCAGUGGGUACGGGCAGACUUGAGUGGUGUAGGGGAGACUGGAAUUCCUGGUGUAGCGGUGGAAUGCGCAGAUAUCAGGAGGAACACCGGUGGCGAAGGCGGGUCUCUGGGCCGUAACUGACGCUGAGGAGCGAAAGCAUGGGGAGCGAACAGG
rnacentral:rRNA from 1 species